rnacentral:rRNA from 1 species
ACGGAAGGCAGCAGUGGGGAAUAUUGCACAAUGGGGGAAACCCUGAUGCAGCGACGCCGCGUGAGUGAAGAAGUAUUUCGGUAUGUAAAGCUCUAUCAGCAGGGAAGAAAAUGACGGUACCUGACUAAGAAGCCCCGGCUAACUACGUGCCAGCAGCCGCGGUAAUACGUAGGUGGCAAGCGUUGUCCGGAAUUACUGGGUGUAAAGGGAGCGCAGGCGGGACUGCAAGUUGGAUGUGAAAUACCGAGGCUUAACCACGGAGCUGCAUCCAAAACUGUAGUUCUUGAGUGAAGUAGAGGCAGGCGGAAUUCCGAGUGUAGCGGUGAAAUGCGUAGAUAUUCGGAGGAACACCAGUGGCGAAGGCGGCCUGCUGGGCUCUAACUGACGCUGAGGCUCGAAAGUGUGGGGAGCAAACAGGAUUAGAUACCCUGGUA